rnacentral:rRNA from 1 species
UCGAUUGAGUUUGAUCCUGGCUCAGAACGAACGCUGGCGGCAGGCCUAAUACAUGCAAGUCGAACGCACUCUUCGGAGUGAGUGGCAGACGGGUGAGUAACGCGUGGGAACCUUCCCAAUGGUACGGAAUAACUCCGGGAAACCGGUGCUAAUACCGUAUAAGCCCCUCGGGGGAAAGAUUUAUCGCCAAUGGAUGGGCCCGCGUCGGAUUAGCUAGUUGGUAAGGUAAUGGCUUACCAAGGCUACGAUCCGUAGCUGGUCUGAGAGGAUGAUCAGCCACACUGGGACUGAGACACGGCCCAGACUCCUACGGGAGGCAGCAGUAGGGAAUCUUGGACAAUGGGCGAAAGCCUGAUCCAGCCAUGCCGCGUGAGUGAAGAAGGCCUUAGGGUUGUAAAGCUCUUUUGGCGGGGACGAUAAUGACGGUACCCGCAGAAUAAGCCCCGGCUAACUUCGUGCCAGCAGCCGCGGUAAUACGAAGGGGGCUAGCGUUGUUCGGAAUUACUGGGCGUAAAGCGCACGCAGGCGGAUUGAUUAGUCGGGGGUGAAAUCCCGGGGCUCAACCUCGGAAUUGCCUUCGAUACUGUCAGUCUUGAGUCCGGGAGAGGUGAGUGGAAUUCCUAGUGUAGAGGUGAAAUUCGUAGAUAUUAGGAAGAACACCAGUGGCGAAGGCGGCUCACUGGCCCGGUACUGACGCUCAUGUGCAAAAGCGUGGGGAGCGAACAGGA